rnacentral:lncRNA from 10 species
GAAUUGGCAACAAGCUCAUUUCACUGGUGGGUUUGCUGAAGCAUUAUCACAAGACAGUCAGAAUGACUGAUGAGUGCUCUUCAGGUGUGAAUCAUGGCAAUACAGUGAAAGACAGUGAUUUACUGCUUUUGAGGGCGUGCAUGUAUAUGAUUAACGGAUGGAAGUGCAGGACUCCAAGAUUUACUUCCUUCCCUUUCCAGCAGAAUUACCUGAGACGAGUAAAAUCUACUGGUGGAGUCACUCCAUUAUUCUUAUCUGUGGAGAUCUAGAUCUUGAUUUGAAAGUUUCUGAGAAAAUCUUCAGCUCAGACUUGAGGGUCAACUUUACCAGCUGAAGGAGCUGUGGAGUCCAAGUGUGACUGCCAAGAGGAAUCCAGCAAAGCCAAAAAGCCCAAGCAUGUAGCCCUGCCCGAAGCACGCCACACGCAUGGAAAACCCAGAGGAAAUGAGUGAGGAUCAAUGGGAAGAAGAGAGCCAGCCAGGUUCGAUGCCUUCUCCAUCCGUCAGUGAGGGUGUGGAGAGCCUGCAGGCGUGUGCCUCCCUCUGUAACUUGCUAUUCCUUGUGUAAUGUCAAGUGGAAGUGUGAAGCACCACAAACUGCUCUGAGCAGAGCCCACUUCCCUUCACCCACGGAGAGCGUGAAGCAGUUACACCAACAUCAAUCAAGGAAAACCCACAGGCUGAGCUCACACGGUUGAAGCAGGAAGUUGAAGAUUUGUCCAGGAGCAGAUAGCUGAAGAGAGAGAGAGAGAAGAGAGAACGGCUUACAGCUCAGGUCCUCUCUCCAUGCUUAGGAACCACUACAAAUGCUACUGCCUUGAGUCUCAUUUUGUUUCCCUCUGGAAACCACAUGUGUACCUUGUUUGCAACAGUAUGGGUAUGGAUGUUUUGGUAGUUCUUACACAUUUAUUUUAAAAUUUAAAGAAGUAGUGCCAUAAAGCUUUAUCAGGAUGUAUUUAAAAUGAAAAUAGUCUCUUGUUAUCUAGCAUGCAACUGAUUCUUUCAAUUUGGUUUGGUUAGUCAGAAUCUUACCAGAAGUCUGUCCAGGUGAUAGGUUAGUUGAGAGCAUCAAGACCAACCAAAAUAAAACAAAAACAAUAGCCUAUGGCAAACUCAUUCUGAUCAUUUCACAUCCUAGAGAAAAGUGCAGAGAAACAAAAAUGAGUCAAUAUUUUAUAAAUUCAGGGUCAAUAUUGUAUGCAAUGUCAAUAGUGUAUGAGUUCCAAAGGUUUUGUGUCACUAUUAAAUUAGAAAUGAUCCAUUUUUAUUCGACGUAUAGUAGAUCGGGCCAUAUAAUGGCCAAUAAAUAAAUAAAUAAAUAAAACCCCCACACCAGAAUACAAAGGAUAGUGAGGAAACGUAUUUUGUACGACAAUUGCAAACCACUUAUGGGCUUCAAUACAAAGUAAUAGAGACCAUCUCUUCUCUUUGGCUUUCCAUUCAUUUUUAGCAUUAGUGAAUUUAUGUCCUGUGCUCUUGACCUUGAGCCCUAAGAGGUGUAUGUCUUUGCCAUGCUUCUGUGGCUACAUUUUAGGAGAGUGAGUGUGCAUUACAUGUCCGUAACCCAGAUCUUAGAUAGUAGAAGGGUGCUGUUAUAAUUUGUGGACAGAGGCUGUAAUUUGGUGCUCAGGGAUUACCUCCUUUGUAUAUGUUUGCCUACUGCAUGCUACCAUUUAUUGUAAGCUUUUUAUUCAUGAUCUUCAUUCUAGUUGAAUCUGUGGAGCUAUUGGUCAUGAGUAGAGAAAUAGAUCUAUAGGGUUUUCUUGAAUGGCAUUUCUCAUUGCUAAUGUGUUCUGUGACCAGCCAGGUUUAUGGAUAAACCCAGUUUUUGUGUUUCUCUGAGAGGUAUGCAUCAAAGCAGUUUUUUCCUCUUCACUUAGGAAUUUUAAUUUUCCUUCAGGGUUCAGUGGGCCAUUUAGUACCUCCAUUAUCUCAUAAGUUAUUCUUACUAUUUAAAUGACUUUUUUUUUUAGGAUGUUAGCAUGUUGGCCCUUUUACUUUUAUUUUCAAAGUCAGACCAAACAAACCAUCAGAGUGCUGUAAAUUUACACCUUACAUUUGUUUGGAAUUCUUUUUAUAUUAAUAUUUUUAGAGUCUUCAUAUGCAAGCAGAAAUUUUCCAUCCCCUCUCCACUGAUCACCAUUGAGGACAGGGCAUGAGAUGGGCAAACCCAUGCUUUUGUGUGCCUGUAAUGGCUAGCCUCUUUGUUACACACUUUAUAUUGGUCGUUAUCUGAUAGAAUUCCAACAAAUGAAAACAUGCCCAAGUUAAAGAAAUUAAAUCUCCUUAUCCAUCACCUUAGAAAAAUGACAACACAGCAUGUAUGUAAUUUAAAAUGACUUGUUGGAAUAUUUAUUGCUAGAUUGGGAGAACAUUUCUACUGAUAAGAAGCUCCUUUGAUUUAUCAAAGUUUUCCAUAUUAUUUGUUAAUUAACUCCAUGUCCUUAAUAUCCACAGCUCAUUUUUCCUAUGAUAAUGACUCCAUUGUGAAACAUAUAAAUAUAAUGAAAAAUAUCCCUACCUGUAUUAAAAAUUGAGAAACCUCAAUUACUUCACACCCAUUGUAUUUUGUAGUCAGCUCAGGACUGUAGUUACAUAACUUCAGUUAUUAUUGCUGGAGCAACAAGAUAAGAGAGUCAUUGAAACAUUGCAAAAGAGAAUGCAGUGGACCAGGGUGGUAAUGUUGUCCUUGUAAUAAGCCUACUCCUGCCAUUGCUGUUAGAUGAAGGUUUUCUUUUUCCAAGUGUUAUAUAAUUAUAUGCAAUUAUUUUUGUCGUUUGGUUUUCCUAUUAUCUUUUUCCUCCUCUUUUUGACACGAAAAUGAUAGUAACUGGAAAAUAUAAACCAAUAAGAUUUGAGCUAUUUACUAUGUUAAAAGAGAAUUUGCCAGGUUUCAAAUUAUUUCCUCAUUUGGAUCUAGCGUGCAGCACUUACUGAUAAGAAUUCUCUAACACAUGUCUAUUUAAAAGUAUUAAAAGUAUUGUGUACACAUUUCAGCAAAUUUUGGCAAAAGGGUGUCCUCUGAUGGGGAAGUGACUGUUCCUUUCUUUUGCCAUUUCCCAGUCUUAAACCCUUGUUUUUACAUCAAGCUCCUUUGUUAAGGAUUCAACAUAAAAGUCUUUGAUAUUAUUGAGUCCAUCUCUGACUCAUUAUUAGCCAACACUUUGUGUCUGGCUGGCAGCUUUUCCGUAAGUGGUAAGGUCAGCCUCAUACAGUAUUGCACAGCCUUUCCCAUUCCUUUUGCGUCAGUGAGAAUCAAAUGAUUCAACAGUGAAAAGCAAACUCUUGGACUGGAAUAGCAAGAUGACCCAUCUCUAAACAAAGCAAACUGACUAGGAUUCUCUCAUGCUUAACAUGCAUCUUACUGGUUCUUUAUGAAGAGCUUUCUCUUGUUCUGGAGACCAGAAGGCCAAAAUCAAAAGUAUGGGCAGGCUUGAUUUCUUUAGAAGACUCCAGCGGAGAACUGUGUCUCCUUGCUUCUGAUUCUACAUCUCCAUCCAUGGGCCACUGUUUCAGCAACCUCAGCCAGUGCAACACAACCUCAGCCAAGAAGAGUAUGCAGAGAAAGGAGUCCCCUACCUGCCACAAAACUGUUGUCUGAAAACUGUCUCAUAUUGUCUCAAGUUGUCAUUCAUUGUGAAUUAGACCUGUUUAACAUGUAAUCUGCAACAUGCUUCACUGUCUAAUUUUCCAGAGCCCCUCAUAUAAGGAACUGUAUUAUUGGUAUAAUCAUCAUGGUGAAGAAGUUGGUAUGUGGGGGAGAGAUGACAGAAACAGAGAGUAAGUCAGAGCUGGCUGCCUGACAGAUAAAAAGGAAAUGACCAAAAAAAAAAAAAAAGACACAGAAGAAUACUUUGUUGUCCACACAGAAAAGGGAAGUGUAGGUAAGACAGCAGUAGACUAAGAUUCUUAAGACUCAAGUUCUAGUCUUAUUUAUUAGCUAUGGGAGGCCUUGAGGGAGUUCUAGAAUUAAGUGAUCUCUCUUUAUAAAAUAGGAACAGUAAUAACUUCCUGGCUAACUCCCUGGCUGUCUCACAAUGCUGUAGUAGUAAGAAAUAAUUUUAUAAUUAAAGACUAUUUUAGGGCUGAUUACAUUUUUGGGCAGUGGCUCAUACAUGUAAUUUCAACAUUUUGGGAGGCCAAGGUGGGCGGAUUGCUUGAGCCCAGGAAUUCAAGACCAGGCUGGGCAACACAGACCUUGUCACUACAAAAGAAAAAAACAUUAGCUAGGCGUGGUGAUGUAUGCCUGUGGUCCCAGCUACUCAGGAAGCUGAGACAGGAGGAUCACCUGAGCCUGGGAGGUCGAGGCUACAGUGAGCCAUGAUCACACUACUGCACUCCAGCCUGGGAAACAGAGUGAGACUCUGUCUCAAAAAAAAAAAAAAAGGAAUAUUUUACACUUCAAGGUUCUAUACAAAUGUAAAAUAUCAUUCUAUUACUUAUUUAUAAUGCUGAUUAUUCUUUAAAUGACUUUAAAAUGUUAAUCUCUGCUUGAGCCUACGGAGAAGUAUGUAACAAAUUUGUGAAGGAUUGGCAUUAAACAUAGUCAAAAUAAAACAUAGAAAUUAUGGUAAAUAAUUUAACUGGUAAAAUAAUCUAAGUGGUAGUUCUCAGGUAAGUGGAAAUUCGAUUAGCUGAUUGUUUAGGAUUCUUGGUUAUAAGUGACAGAGACCUGACUAAAAGUACAUGAAGCACAUAACUGAGAAGGUUGUGGUAUGGCUCAGCAGAAAUGGGAAAAUCUUGGGACUGGUUCGUGUUUUAUUUACAUUAUCUUUGUUCCCAGGCAGUCUCUGCAUGUAAGUGGCAAAGAUGACUGUCUGAAAAUAUAUACCUACUUUUUUAAAGGGCUAUCUCAAGCCAUUCUGGAGAAGCACCAAAAGCCACUUUGCUUAUACUGGGAGAAUAGUUUGCUUUCCCUAAUUUGUGAUGAGUGAAACACUGAACAGAGACAUAGAAUAAUAUUCUGUAGUUCAGGGUUGGUGUAAUAUGGCCAGUGGGCGGAAUCUGGUCCUCAGACUGAUUUUGCAAAUAAUCUUAUAGAAACACAGCAACACCCAUUCAUUACAUGUUGUUUAUGGUUGCUUUGGGGUUACAAUGGCAGAGUUGAGUAGUUGUGACAGAGAUCACUAGGCUCACCACAUCUGAGAUAUGUACUGACUGACCCUGUACAGAAAGUUUGCUGCUCUUAGAGGAAUGUGUGUUUCUAGUGUCAGCAAUAAACUUCUUGGAUUUGUUUUGUUUUCUCAUCUUUACAUGAUAGUUGCAGACUAGUUGAUCCUUGUGACCUGUUUUUGAAUGCCACUGUGUAUUCUGUCAGGGCCCUCUGAUUCUGUUUCUUAUGGUGCUGAAUGCACAAUUUAAUGCCCUGGAAUUUCCUUCUGUCUUCUGCUAAACUCAUGCCUCUUCAGAUAGUUAAAAUCCUGUUCUACCUUAGAAGUCUCCAGAGUUAUUUUCCUAAAUUAAGAAGAACUGGCUUUGAAGUUACUCAUUAUGCCACACACAAUGGUUGAAAAGAGCAUCUCUUAUGUACUGUGUAUAUUUCAGCAUCCACUCAGCUUCUUAGGUAGAAAAGGAAGAGUCUUCCACAGUGUAUUUUAUCCAUAUUUGGGUCAGAAACUCUUCUUUACCACGGAGCGUGAUGGAAGAAAGAUAUGGGAUGGUAACAGUAGGCCAGGGAUGUAAUAAUCACAAAAUUUGAGAUAUUUUGUGACUGGUGACUCACGCCUGUGAUCCCAGCAUUUUGGGAGGCCAAAGCGGGCGGAUCACCUGAGGUCAGGAGUUCAAGACCAGCUUGGCCAAUGUAGUGAAACCUCAUCUCUACUAAAAAAAUAUAAAAAUUAGCUGGGUGUGGUGGUGCACACCUGUAAUCCUAGCUACUCAGGAGGCUGAGGCAGGAGAAUAGCUUGAACCAAGGAGGUGGAGGUUGCAGUGAGCUGAGAUUGUGCCACCACUGCAUUCCAGUCUGGGUGACAGAGCGAGACUCUGUCUCAAAAAAAAAAAAAAAAAAAAUCUAGAAAAAGAUCUCCAAGAUUCAAUCAUCUAAUUAUUUCUUUUAAAAAUGAGAAAAAUGACUCCUGGUCAGCUUUUACCUUCUUUUUCCAACUGUCUUGACAAUACUUUCAUAUUGGGCUUUUAAAGUCUCAAGUAAUAGGUUUUUAAAACCUCAGCUGAUAAAAGUAUAAAAAUAAAGUUAAAACAUAUUAAAGACAAAACCCAAGAAUCAGCUUCCUCUUCCUUCAUUACUCUUGCAUGGGUGUUGGCUCUAAUUUCUCCAUCUAGUUAGGCAGUCCUUUGCUUUUUAUUGCUUGUUUAUUGAUGACAUUUGCCAUUUGUAGCAAUAGUAAUAGAAUCAUCUAUAUAUUUGUGGCCUUGUUGAAUGUAGAAAAAGGAUAGUGGCAUUUUCUAAUUGUGUAACCCUAUAACACCUUGACGGGGGACUACAGUUCAUAUGCUGGACCUUUUGUGUUUGUUCAUGGCGGGUGGGUUGCUUUAAUAUACUUAGCACAUUGUCCUAAUUGCCAUCCUUUUGGGGAGGGCUAUAUAUCCAAGCUAAUAUGGUAGCAUUUUUGUUUUAACAUAGAGCUGACCCAAGGUAGACGUAAGUGUUGUUCAUUUUUGCCUAAUACUAAUAAAAUUACCUAAUUGUUGAAGCUUGGAGCUUGAAUCUAGGCAUUUUAUUUCAUUUCAAGUACACCCUAGUAUUUUAAAGCAUAAAUAUCCUACUAUCCUCAACAACUUUAGAACAAAAAUAAAUAUUUUAACAAGAAAAAAGCAUGCCAUGACAAGCUGUAACUUAGUAAAGAAAGACAAGGAAUGGUCUCUAUAGACCGAGAAAAAAUAGGUCCUCAGAUAUAUUUAUACCAAAGGAAUGUUAUGAAUGUAAAAAACAGUUUGACUCCCCCCCCCCCGCCAAAAAAAAACUCCACAACCCUAUAUUUUGUUAUCACAAGACUGUUUUAGUGAAUAAAACAGUAUGAAUUGGUUUUACCUGUUUCCAUUUAAUACUUAUUAACUUUAUAAUCGUAUAGCCUGAGGGUUUUAACUUCAAGUACAGCAUGAUGACUAUAAUAGUUUUACACAAGGCAAAUGUGAAAAACAGAAGUAAUUUCUUUUAAAAAGUGUGAAAUAUCUAAAAGGUAUGACUUCAAUACAUCAACUCAGGUGAGACAGACAUGUAACUUCUUUUUCCAUGUUUAAACCUAAUAUUGCUUUUGUGCCUCUGAAGGCUCGGAGUUUCCAUGCCUUCUUAGGACAUGCCACCCUCUCCACACCUGGAUGUGUUCACCAACCCAGAAGCUCUUGGAACCCCAUCAUUUGGGGUUUUUAUGGAGUCCCCAUUAAGUAGGUAUGACUGAUUAAAUCACUGGCCAUUGGUGGUUGACUCAAUCUCCAGCCUCUCUUCCCUCUCUGAAGGUGAAGGGGUGGGAAGGUGAGGCUAAGUUCCAACCCUCGGAUCACAGGGUUGGUUCCUCUGCAACCAGGCUUCAUCGUGAAACAAUACAGGGCCCACCGAGAGUCACCCCAUUAGCAAACUCAGAUGUGAUUGAAAGGGGCUUAUUAUGAAUAUCAAAAGACAUUUCUCUUUCUCCUAUUACUCAGACAGUUACAAGGGUUUCAGAAGCUCUUGCACCAGGAACUGGGAACAAAGACCAAAUAUAUAUGUCUUCUUCUAUUACAAUGUCACAGGUGUGACAGAGUAGGUAAAUGGAGUCUCAGAGAGUCCCCAGAGUAUUCCAUGGAGCCACAAAAUGAAGAAUAAAUGGAUGGUUCUCCCCAUGAUCAAAAGUGGCCUGAAAAUACUUGAGAAUGAGUCAUAACUUAAAAGGCUGUAUAGUAGAAAAGAAUGCACAGAGGACCGAAUGUAAAAGAAGGCACCCCAGUCUCAGCUAGUGUGGAUGCAUGCCAGUGUAGAAAGAUGCUAGUGUGGCUACAUUGGUGCACUGAAGACCAAACUCCUGCAUGGCCCCACAUCCUUGAUACCUUAGAUCUAUAUCAUCCCCUAAAACUUAGGUGUUAUGACAUUCAGGAUAUGCUACCCCAUCAUUUUUUAGGCUGAAGGAAUUUGAGAAAACAGAAGCAGGAAUGUAAUUGCCCAGUGGGUUCUUCCUGCCCUGUGCACAGACAAAACCAGUUCACUGAGACCAUGGUAUUGCAGUUAAGAAAGAGUUUAACAGGAGGCUGGCCACAUGGAAGAAUUACAGUUAUUACAAAUUAGUCUCCCUGAAGGCUCAGAGGUCAGGGUUUUUCAUGGAUAGUUCGGUGAGCAGUGGAUUAGGGGUAAGUGCUGCUGAUUGGUUGGGGAUACAAUCAUAGGGGUGUGGAAAAUGGUCCUUGUGUGCUGAGUCACCUCUGGGUGGGAGGCCAUGGGACCCAUUGAGUCAUGAGUCACGAGGCUGGGUUGGGUCAGUGUGAAAAACAUCUCAAAAGACCAAUCUUAGGUUCAAAAUAGGUGAUAUUACCUGUAGGAGCAAUUGGGAAAGUUAUAAAUUAUAUGACCUCUUGGCCCCAUGACUUCUGAGCAGUAAGAGAUGAUAGAAACUAAACCUACAUUUUAUCAGCACUCAGGCCUCUUCCAUAAUCCUAAUCUUGUGGCCUUUCGUUAGUCUUAUAAAGGUGGUUUGGUAACUGCCCUCAAGCAAGGAGGGGAUCAGUUUUAGGGAGGUGCUAUUAUCAUCCUUGCUUCAAAGUUAAGCUGUAAACUAAAUUCCUCCCAUAAUUAGCUUGGCCUACACCCAGAAAUGAGCAAAGACAGCCAGCCUGUGAUGUUAGAAGCAAGAUGGAGUUAGUCAUGUUAGAUUUCUCUCACUGUCAUAAUCUUUGCAAGGGAGGUUCCAGGAAGGUCAUCCUACCUUUCCCCUCACCCUUCUCAUGUGACACAGGUCAUAAAGCCUAGGAAGGAUUUUCCGACCUUUCCCUGAAGCAGGUCGUAAGACCCUCAUUGGGGAGGUGCCAUUUCUAGACCAAGAGAAAAGGCACAUCCUUAUGUCUGAAGACACAGGGACACAGAGAAGAAUCUGAACAAACAGGUCUUGCUAAGUUCCCCCCAGUUUGUUUUCAUUAGAUCAUGCCCCUUUAUUCAAUGCUGUUUCUCCACAACUAUCCAUUUCUUCAUCAAGCCUAGCAUAAAAAAUACAGGUUUCACGGUUUCUUUGGGUCUUCAUUUCCUUAUAAAGUCUCCUGUACCAUGUAAAACUUAAAUAAGUUUCUCUGCUUUUCUCUUGUUGAUUCUGUCCUUUGUUUUAUAACCCUCAGACAUGAACCUAGUGAUGAGUGAGGGGAAGAUAAUUUAUUUUCCUCUACAGAUGCAAAAGGGAAAAGGGAACAAUCCCUAAACGGAAGUUAUGAUCCAGGGAUCAGAGGCUCAAAAGCAAGAUUAGGUUUAAAUGUAGAAAAAUACAUUCCUCUUUCAUUUUAGAUAUCCCAAAUGCCCAAAUCAACCCAGCUAUUUCUCAGAAGUCUGUUUCCCCUCCACCCUCUGCUCCUCUGUGUAGUGAAACUGUCUCGUUUGGGAGUAAAAUGGCCUGGCUUUCCUUACUGAGUAUACUCUCAAGACUAUUGCCUAUUACUUUUUUCCAUUCCUUCUUGAGAACUACGCUUUUUAAAACAAGAAUUGACUCCAUUUAUCUUUUUCUUUUAGCCUUCUGCUGGGGUAUGCCUUCUCUAAAGCAAUGAAUAAAAAAUGCUUUAGCUGAAUAAAUGGGGCAAGGAUCAAGGAGUACAAGCUAAUAUUUCACAAUAUUAUCCUGCCAUAAAUAAAAGUAUGGUUUAAAUGACAAUGGUGGGGUUAGGAGUUACAGGUCACUGAAACACCACCUUAUUCAUGCUACCAGCCCCUUGGCUUUCCUGAUGGCAGCAGGGAAGCAACACAUAGGUAGAAUUAUGAGCCAACAUCGUGACUGGAGAGGGAUUGAAAAUCUUAUUUGUUGUCUUCCUAGACUAUUACAGUUAUCUGUUGAAAUUAGACUCAAUUCUUUGGCGAAAGUACUCAUUUUUAAGGUCCAUAAUAAAUUGUAACUAUGUAGCCUUUGUUGCAUGAGUUUAGUAUGAGCUGAUUGGUGGGCCACAGUGAAAGGCAGAGGGAAAUGGAUGUUAACUAAGAGGUAGAAGUCCCCUUGAAGUUCUGACCCUGUCACUAAUGAAGUCUUUAUUUCCGUAUUUAGUAAUUGCCUUUUUUUUUUUUUUUUGAGACAGAGUCUUGCUCUGUCGCCAGGAUGGGGUACAGUGGCACAGUAUCUGCUCACUGCAACCUCCGCCUCCCAGGUUCAAGCAGUUCCCCUGCCUCAGCUUCCUGAAUAGCUGGGACUACAGGUGUCUGCCGCCAUGCCUGGCUAAUUUUUGUAUUUUUAGUAGAGACGGGGUUUCACUAUGUUGGCCAGGAUGGUCUCGAUCUCCUGACCUCGUGAUCUGCCCACCUCAGCCUCCCAAAGCUAGGAUUACAGACGUGAGCCACCAUGCCCGGCCAACUGCCUUCUUUAUAUCUCAUUUUAAAAAUUUAUAACAAAGAAGUGGGUUGAUUUUCAAGACCUAGUUGUGUUAGUUUGAAUGAGAUGCAUACAUUUGGCAAGUCUGGGGUCUAAGAAAAGAUAAAGAUCUGAAUGCUGAAAAUCUAGAGAAUUCAGGUUACUGGGGGAUAACUUAAAGUCACUAGGGAAUUCGGGUUACUGGGGGGAUAACUUAAGGUCACUAGGGAAUUCGGGUUACUGGGGGGAUAACUUAAGGUCACUAGAACCCAAAUGCAGGGAAGAGUUGGGUGCUCUUUGGCAAAUAAACAUUCCUGACUUAGCAUUUUUCUUAAACCCGAACGUGCCAGCUGUUUUUUUGUUUUUUUGUUUUUUUGUUUUGUGACCUCAGCCAGGCUUGCGUGUUUAUUCAUCACAUAUUCUAAGCUCAUAUACAACUGUGACCUGAUCCAGCCUUCAAGGAACUCACUCUUGAUUUUAGGAAUCUUUCCACCACUUCGAUUUCAUCUUACUCCUGAAACAGUCAGCCAGAACUGUCUAAUUCAGUCUAUACUUCUGAUACAAAACUCUACCCAGCAACCACUAUGGUUUUGUUGCUUUAGGUACGUGUUAGAAAGCACCCACAUCAAUUUACAGAAAAUCCUUAACUGAAUCUCUAGUCCCAGAGGAGUCAUAUUUUAUUAUAUGGUGCUUUUUAUUUAAAGAGAUCGGUUUAAUAGAAAUUACUCAGGCAUUUGAAGUGAUAGCUUUAAAAUGUGGGACUGGGGAAAAUAAGAACACUUGACCUCUCUCCAUAAAAUUGAAUUGUUCUUUAGGUUUAAAGUUUUGACAGACAAAGAGAAAGUGAGAGCAAGUGAGGGUGAAAAUAUAUCCUUAUUUGGUAAUGAGUACCCAUUAAGAGGACAGUAUAUUACAUUUCAUCUUCUUACUUCACAUUCCUGUUUUAAGGAUUUGUGAGCAAAGUGCUGUGAGACCUCUAGAGUUAAGAGGCUGGAGAUAGGUAGUUUUGAUGGUAUUUUAAGGAGUGCUCCAUAAUGUGUAGUGUCUGAGUGCUGAAGCUUAAUCAGCUUCAAUUAAAUCCAAAACAUACUGAAUAGCUCCUAUGUGUCUGGCAUUGAGCUGUGUGCCAAAGUGGUGGAAAGAUGUAAGAGCCACUGAGGCUUAGAGAUGAAAAGGAUCUUGGAGCCACUGGUUUCCUGCCUGCUGGAGUUUCACCAUCAAGGACCCUUUCGUUAUUUUCCUUCUCCCAUGCAUUUUAUUAAAAUUUUUGGUUUAGUAAACCAAAUUCACUAAUGGGAUGUUAUUUUCAUAUCAAAGAGUAUAAUUCUGCCAAUCAAGGCUUCUGAUCAGCAUAAAAUAAUUAGGUUUCAUACUGAAUGCACAAAUUCUAGUCAAAAGCAAAGCCAUUUGAUGACAUGUCUGCUAUGUUGCCAUUUGCUUUAAGAGAGGUAAAGGUAGCCUGACUUCUGUUCACUCUGUAGUACAGAAUACAUUGUUAACAAGUCAUAGGUAUGUUCUUUUAGGUUUCUAAUUACUGUCAGCCUCUCAUUUCAGACAGGUGAUGUGAUAAGGUGAAAUGAUUACUAUAUUUAGACUCAAAAGUCCUGAGUUUGAGUCCUCGUUUAACGAUCUAGUCCAUGAGCUUCAGUUUUCUCACCUGUUAAAUGGAAAUGAUGAUUAUUUCCUGGAAAUUGCAUUUCCAGGUUGUUUUGAAUGAUAAAUGAUAUGGUGUAUAUAUCAGCUGUUUGCAAACCAGAAAAAGCUAUUCUAUGGUAAACACAUGCAGUGGGCUGAAUUGUGUCUCCCAAAAUUCAUAUGUUGAAGUCCUCACCCCCAGGGCCUCAGAAUGUGACUGUAUUUGGAUCUAGGGUCUUCAAGAGAUAACUAAGUUAGAAUGAGGUCAUUUGGGUUGAUCCUAAUCCAACUGACUGAUAUCCUUAUAAGACGACGAAAUUUGGAUACAGAAAUACACAGAAGACAGGGAGAAGAUGGCCAUCUACAAGCUAAGGAGAGAGGCCUCAGAAGAAACACACCUGCCACACCUUGAAUUUGGACUUCUAGCCAUCAGAACUGUGGGAAAAUAAAUUUCUGUUGUUUAAGCCAGGAGUCCUCAACCCCCGGGCUGUGGACCUGUACCAGUCGGUGGCAUGUUAAGGACUGGGCUCCACAGCAGGAGGUGAGUGGUGGGCGAGUGAGCAUUACUGCCUGAGCUCCACCUCCCGUCAGAUCAGCAGUGGCAUUAGAUUCUCAUAGGAGCACAAACCCUAUUGUAAACUGAGCACGCAAGGGAUCUAGGUUGUGCGCUCCUUACGAGAAUCUAAUGCCUGAUAAUCUGAGAUUGAACAGUUUUAUCCCCAAACCAUCCCCUCCACCACCCCCGUGGUCUGUGGAAAAAUUGUCUUCCACAAAACUGGUCCCUGGUGCCGAAAAGGUUAGGGACCAGCGGCUCAAGCCACCCAGCCUGUGGUACUUUGUUACGGUAGCCCUGGCAAAUGAAUACAACACGUUUUAGACUAUGAUGUUACACAUGCAGUGUGUUGAGAGCCAAAGAACCCAAAUGAUUCGUGGUAUCUGCCCUUGAAGAGUUUUUAAUCUUUUUGGGCAUGAUGAAACAUACACAUGGAAAAUAAAAUAGCAUAUAACCAAGUGCCCAAAUCAGUAAUAAAUACAGUUGACUCCAUAAACAUUUAGGAACCUUCUAUCCCAUGUUUCCACAUUCUAUCCCAGUGGCUUUUGCCACUAAAUUUCUUCACCCACUAUUAGACUGAUGUUUUCAUCUUUCAGUAUCAGACUCAAGCUUUAAUCUAGAAAGAGGGGGUGGGGGGAUAAAUGCUAUACUUUGGAACCAGUCCGGAUAUUUUAAGUAUGUUUUUAAAAAGUAUAAUCCUCACAACAUGAAAGUUAUUAGUUCUAUUUUUCAGGUGAGAAGAGUUAAGGUCAAACAGACGAAAGCUAGUUAGUGGAGGGACUGGUAUUCCAAGCCCAUUCUGGUUAAACUAAAUCUUGUGUUCUUUCCACUAGAAAACUGCUUUUUGUCUUAAUUAUAAUUUUGUGACAAGGAUGUAUAGUCCAUUAAGGAAUAUAUACAACAGAAGAAGCAUUUAAGUGGACUUGAGUUUGUUAGACUUUGGAUGGUGGAGACCUGUGCCUGCUACUUCUCUCAUCUCCUGAUACCUAAUGCAUAGUGUUCAGUAAGUAUUUAUUUGGUGAUAACAAUAUCAAAAACUAGAUAAUGCUUAGAAGAUCCAACACCUUCCAAAAUCUCUGUUAACCAGGUACUGAAAUAUGGUCAACCAGAUGAGCUGAAAUGUCAAGAACUUAUAGACACACAUGGUUUCAUGGUUGUGAAACUAGAAGAUGUGGCAUAUUUUACACAAUGGAGGGAAGAGCAAAGGUUAUGCAUGUGCGGAGGCAGAGCCCCUAGGCAGGUUUCCCUCUUUUCCUUCCUGUGCACUGAUUUUUAUUUUGGUGAACUGAAACAGGGGUCUAACAAACUGGUAUCUCAUUUGUCUUUAUAAACAGAACUGCCAGAUUGGCUUUGCAAUUCAGGGCCCUGUAGGGUGCCCACCUCCUCAGUUUGGGCAGCAGCAUUACAUCUGAGUCUUAGAAUAAAAAUGGAAAGCAAUGGCUCAACCCAUUGGUUUGUCACCAUCCACAUGAAGGAUCUCUAUUGGUAAAAAAACAGACUCCCGUGUUCAAGGCCCUGGGGCUGGAAUCAAAUCCAUCAUUCAUUUAUUUCGGUUUUUUAAGGCUAAAUACAUAGGGAAGAAAAUGAAAUGUGAGAAAGCUGUGCAUUUUCAAUGUCAUCUUGAAAGUGAGUAUCUUUAGACACAUAAAGUAGAUGAGUGGUUAACUUGGGCUGGGAGAGGGAGUGAGGAGUGGUUGUACAUGGCACAAGGUUUCUAUUUAGUGUGAUUGAAAUGUUCUAUAAUUUGAUUGAUGAUUGUACAGUUCUGUAAAUAAACUAAAAUGUAUUGAAUUGUAUAAUUAAAACAUGCAGAUUUUAUAUUUAAAAUAUACUUUGAUAAAAGUGUUUUAAAAAUGAAUAUCUCAUAGGGUAGAAUGAAAUGAAUAAGAGAAACAGUGAGGCAUCCAGGGGACUUUCUGCACAGUGGGUCUGUCAUUAGGCAGGUACGUUGCCACAGCCAGUUCUAAUGCCCACUCAUAGGCCAAUGCCUAGGACAAUUGCUCAGAUAUCGCCUCUGACAGGCAAGUGUUCCAUCAGUAACAGCAGGCAUCGGAAGAUGAUGCCAUUCCCUGCUGUUAGUAUGAUUAUAUUGACUUAGGUUUUUAAUUUUCUUUCUUGCUGUGUUUUUUUUUUUUCACCUUCUUAGCCUCUAAAGCAUGAACAUCUGUGUUUUUCAG